GUGGGGAAUCUUCCGCAAUGGACGAAAGUCUGACGGAGCGACGCCGCGUGAGUGAAGAAGGCCUUCGGGUCGUAAAGCUCUGUCAUCAGGGACGAAUGGCCGGUGGAGUGGAAAGCCACCGGAUUGACGGUACCUGAGAAGGAAGCCACGGCUAACUACGUGCCAGCAGCCGCGGUAAUACGUAGGUGGCAAGCGUUGUCCGGAAUUAUUGGGCGUAAAGCGCGCGCAGGUGGGAUCUUAAGUCCAUUUUGAAAGUUCGGAGCUCAACUCCGUGAUGGGAUGGAAACUGGGAUUCUUGAGUACCGGAGAGGAAAGCGGAAUUCCCCGUGUAGCGGUGAAAUGCGUAGAUAUUAGGAAGAACACCAGUGGCGAAGGCGACUUUCUGGACGAAAACUGACGCUGAGGCGCGAAAGCCAGGGGAGCGAACGGGAUUAGAUACCCGAGUAGUCC
rnacentral:rRNA from 1 species